rnacentral:misc_RNA from 1 species
AACUUUCAGCAACGGACCUCUUGGCUCUCGCAUCGAUGAAGAACGCAGCGAAAUGCGAUACGUAAUGUGAAUUGCAGAAUUCCGUGAAUCAUCGAAUCUUUGAACGCACCUUGCGCCUCUUGGUAUUCCGAGGGGCCUGCCUGUUUGAGUGUCAUGAAACCAUCAAUGGGGGGACCUUUCUUUUAGAGAGGUCUCCUCCUUUGAAUGUGGAGUGUGCUGGCUUGUUCAGCUCCUCUGAAAUGCAUUAGCAAUGUGGUAUUCCACCUGCUCGAGCUUCGUUGGCAUUGAUAGUCAUUCAUGUCAGAGUUGUUCAGCUGUGGCAGGGUUCACUCGCUCCUAAUUGUCGAUGGACUCCUCCAUCCUUUGACUCCUUAUAACCUCAAAUCAGGCAGGACUACCCGCUGAACUUAAGCAUAUCAAUAAGCGGAGGCU